rnacentral:rRNA from 1 species
UCGAGGGGCAGCACAAGGUAGCAAUAUCUGGUGGCGACCGGCGCACGGGUGAGUAACACGUAUGCAACCUACCUGUAAGAGGGGAAUAACCCGGAGAAAUCCGGACUAAUACCGCAUAACACUGUGAUUUCGCAUGAGAUAACAGUUAAAUAUUUAUAGCUUACAGAUGGGCAUGCGUAUGAUUAGCUAGUUGGUGAGGUAACGGCCCACCAAGGCAUCGAUCAUUAGGGGUUCUGAGAGGAAGGUCCCCCACACUGGUACUGAGAUACGGACCAGACUCCUACGGGAGGCAGCAGUGAGGAAUAUUGGUCAAUGGGCGAGAGCCUGAACCAGCCAAGUCGCGUGAAGGAAGAAGGUUCUAUGGAUUGUAAACUUCUUUUGUAAGGGAAUAAAGUGCGGUACGUGUACCGUUUUGUAUGUACUUUACGAAUAAGGAUCGGCUAACUCCGUGCCAGCAGCCGCGGUAAUACGGAGGAUCCAAGCGUUAUCCGGAUUUAUUGGGUUUAAAGGGUGCGUAGGCGGACCUGAAAGUCAGUGGUGAAAGUUUGCAGCUUAACUGUAAAAUUGCCAUUGAAACUCUGGGUCUUGAGUGUAAAUGAGGUAGGCGGAAUGUGUUGUGUAGCGGUGAAAUGCUUAGAUAUAACACAGAACACCAAUUGCGAAGGCAGCUUACUAGGAUACAACUGACGCUGAGGCACGAAAGCGUGGGGAUCAAACAGGAUUAGAUACCCUGGUAGUCCACGCAGUAAACGAUGAAUACUAACUGUAUGCGAUAUACUGUAUGUGGUAAAGCGAAAGCGUUAAGUAUUC